UUCUUCAGAAAGCAUCUGGAGCACGGAAAAAUUCUGUACAAGAAAUGCAGAAAGUGGGAAAGUUGAAUACCAAAGUGAACGGACAAAGCUUCCAGCCUGUCUCUAGUUAGUGCUCAAAUAACAGAAAUGACUGCAGUUCAAGAUCACACUAAGACAAAUAACACAACUAGGAAGCAAGAGGUGAAGGCAUCGGUACAAGAGCUUGCUUCUCGAGCUGCUUCCCGAGUCAAGGAAGUAGCUGCGGAAAAGAUCACACCACCAAAUUCGGCAUAUCAAUUUGAGGUUUCUUGGCGAGGACUCUCUGG